CACUCUUUCAUCACUCUCAGUUAGGGCCUCCUCAGCUCAAUCUACCGCAGCUCCUCCUCCCCAAUCCGUUUCUUCCCUUUUGCUCUCUCUAAAUUCUCUCUCCAAGUGCGUCAGAUCUUUUCCGAUAAGAUUCCGAUGAGGUUUCCGGUGAGAAUCUCACUUGAAUCUUAUACGAAAUGUUCUAUCCAUUUAUGGUAACUCACCUUCGUUCUUUAAUCUGUUUGCGCAAAAGGAAUAAAGUAAAUACAAACCCUCAGACCAAUCUCACACACAUACUAUACAUAUUUGUAAAAAUUGAGCUGAGCUCGACCCUUUUGUAAAGUUCCAAUAUUAGGAUUAGGGUUUAUUUUAGUUUUUCAACUUUUUAUAUAUAGCAUAUCUUGUGCUGGUUGUCUAGUUAGGUUUUUUGGAUAGUAGAGUGAAUUUGGGG
rnacentral:lncRNA from 1 species